UGCCCAAGGUUGUUCGUCUAUUAUAGGUCAUUGAACGAGAUAGGGUCAAAAGAACGGCCAUAUCUUGAAAUCACGUGGAAAUCUUUCGACCUUCAAAAUUAUGUUCCUCUACCCUCAACUUUUAUUCCGGGAAACCAGAAUGCGGAACGUGUCAACGUGUAUAUAAGGCGGUAGCCAACACUUAUUAUUUCACAAUCGUGCAAGGGUCUUCCACUGCAUCUGUACUGUUGCUUCAACAUCUCAGGACGCUUCGCUUGCUUGGUUCCUUCAGUGCUGAAUUCCGAAACCGAUCUUGUAGGGCUUGCCAUUCGUCGUCAACUAUAAUUCAAUCAUCCUUUUGUAAAUUCAUUGCUGUUUGAUUGGACCCAUCAAUUGUUCGUCCAUUUCAUGUUAUUGGUUAACUAUUUGCUAUUUAAAAAUCUCAUUGAUUGUUUUCAUAGCUGGUUAAUUACCAACGUACCUGAGGAUAAAAAGUGUGCUCGAUUCUAAGGAGCGUCGAUCAACCGAUAACAUGUCCUUGCCAAGUAAAAAACAAUCAAUUCCGCAAAAGCGUAUCUGGUCAAAAUGCGAGUUUGGUCACUACGGUGAGCUUAGGUACAUUUUACGACGUUUCACGUCUAUGCUUGUUGCUUCGACAAAAAGAACAAAGGAUUUUUGAUUCUGCAUAACAUAGACAAAAUUACCG